rnacentral:lncRNA from 1 species
GAUUUUUUUCUUUUAAUCUGGAUGUAACAGAGGCAUUUUACUAUUUAAAGGGAAAAUAUAAAGUCGUAUUAACAAAAGUACAGACUUUGUACAACCACCACCACCAGAAGCUGUCAUAGCCUCUAUGAGGGUCCCCGGGAGUCUCACCUCCUGGAAUUCUCACUUCUGUGCCAUCUCCUCUCCUUGAGUAUGGGCUGGAUUUGUUGACUUGCUCCUAAUGAAUAGAAUAUGACCGAAGUAAUGGGAUGCCGCUUUGGAGAUAAGAUUAUAAAAAGGCCAUGACUUCCGUUCUUGGGUAUUCUCUCACUCUCACCUGGAAGGCUUGCUUCCGGUGGAAAUCAGCUGCCACGUCAUGGAGCGACCCCCGUGGGUGACACCUGGCUGACACCUCUGCUAAAGAGCCAGAACCUCCCAGCGAAGUCUCUCCCAGGUUUUUUUGUUGUUGUUUGUUUUGGUUUUGGGGGCUGCACCUACAGCCUAUGGAAGUUCCCAGGCUAGGGGUCCAAUCGGAGUUGCAGCUGCCGGUCUACACCACAGCCACAGCAACAGAGGAUCUGAGCUGCAUCUUUGAUUUACACCACAGCUCAUAGAAAUGCUGGAUCCUUUAACCCACCGAGCGAGAUCAGGGAUCAAACCCACAUCCUCAUGGAUACUAGUCAGGUACGUUACUGCUGAGCCACAACGAGAAAUCCGCUCCCAGAUUCUUGAUCUGCAGAUCACCUGUUUUCAGCCUUUAAAUUUGGGGGCAAUUUGUUGUGCAGCAAUAGAGAACAAAUACAAUAGCUGUGUACUGGGUCUUUUCUCUGCAGCAGGUACCGUUCCCAGAACUUCACGUUAUGAAUUCACGUGGUCUUCACAGUGACCCUGUGGGGAAGUGCCAUUAUUAUCCCUGUUUUCAGCUGAAUUUGAAACUGAAGUCCAGGAAGUGUUAAAAAAGCAAACUUUCCCAAAGUCACAGAGUUAUAAAAUGGUGGGAGUGCCCACCGUGGCUCAGCAGAAACACAUCUGAUUAGCAACCAUGAGGAUGCAGGUUCCAUUCCUGGCCUCACUCACUGGGGCAAGGAUCCAACGUUGCUGUGAGCUGUGCUAUACGUCACAGACAUGGCUCAGAUCUGGCAUUGCUGUGGCUGUGGCAUAGGCCAGCAGCUACAGCUCUGAUUCGACCCCUGGCCUGGGAACCUCCAUGUGCUGUGGGUGCAGCCCGAAAAAGACAAAAAGAAAAAAAGCCAUUCUCACAUAAAGAUUGAAAAAUAGCUGCUCAUAUUUCACUGGAUGGAAUUGCACUGUGUCACCCAUGCCUAAAACAAGCACUUCAAUAAAGGUACCAAGUCAAGAUUUACCACCCCCACCUCCUACAGGUGCUGGGGAAAGGCUAGGUUUCCCCGGAAAGUCAUGGUUCUGUAAAGAGGGUGAACAAAUCUGGCUUUAGAUACAAAGGCUAGUGGUUACUGGCUGGUAGCUAAACAGUCUUUCUCCUGCAGCCUAAGCUGGGUUGUAUUACUUUUAUUUAUUUUGGAGGGGAGUGGUGUUGGAUAGGGCCUGGAUGUGGUCACAACCUGGUUCACCCCCAGUGGUUAUAUUCAUGUAUUCAUACCCAGUCUUGGUUUGUUUUUUGUUUUUGUUUUUGUUUUUGCUUUCUUUGGCCUCGCCCAUGGGAUGUGAAAGUUCCCAGGCUAGGGACUGAAUCCGAGCCACAGCAAGCCAGAUACUCUUGGAGGUGUGGUGGGAUGGUGGUUAAGGUACUGGCCCCAGAACAGACAGAUCUAGGUAGCUUCUAGCCAUGUGAUUCUGGGCAAGCCACUUUACCUAUCCAAAGGUCUGCUUCCUUAUUUGAAAUUAAGGAUAGAAUUAUACCAACAGAGUUGUGGUCAAAAUUAAAUGAAGCAACAUAUGUAAGGCUUUUAGUGCCAUGCUGGGCAUGUAGGAAGAGCUUAACAAAUGAUAGCCAUGAUUAUUAUAUGUCAUUAUGUUAAUUAUUAUUCCUGUUGUGUCUCAGUGGUAAGGAACCUGACUAGCAUCCAUGAGGAUGCAGUUUCGAUCCGUGGCCCCACUCAGUAGGUUAAGGAUCCAAUGUUGCCGUGAGCUGUGGUGUAAGUCAAAUGUGGCCCAGAUCCCGUGUGGCUAUGGCUGUGGCUGUGGUGUAGGCCAGCAGCUUCAGCUCCGAUUUGACCCCUAGCCUGGGAACUUCCAUAUGCUGUGCUUGCGGCCCUAAAAAGCAAAAAUAAAAUUAAAAGUAGAACAUAAAAACAUUCUAUCUAUAAUUAUAUACUAUAUCUAUAAUUAAAAUUGUCAUUUUGUAUAUUAUUACAUCAGAGCACUAUAGAUUAGUUAAGAAAUAUGUACUACUUUCCAAGUAUGAAACACCUUGUUGGGCUUACCUGGGGCUAUAAUACACCUUGAUAUCAGGGGAAAUAUAGAAUCUCAUUGGGGAGGUGGAAAGCACAUUCCUCGAAAGAUAUCCUGAUACUAUUUGGGAACACAUGUUAAGUGACAAUUAAGAGGAAUAUUAAGAAUUGAAAGUCAGUUUUUACAUUAAAGAUAUUCAAACAAAGAUCACCUGGUUUCAGAGUUACAAGGGACCAUCGAUUUUGUAGGUAAGGAACCUGAAGUCCAAGAGGGAUUUAGUGCCUUUUCUUCAGGUCAUAGAACCAGAGGCAUAUCUGGGUUCAAGUCUGGGCUCUGCCACUACCAUGCUGAGUAUCCUUGAGCAAACCAAUCACCUUCUCUGAGCCUCACUUCCCUCGUCGGCGAUAUUCUAUUAUGUCAGUGCCCAGCUUUCUGACUCCCAACCCACCUCUCAGGGUGAGGACUUACUACUUUACUUUAUGGUGAAUUGUUUAAUACACCAUGGUAAUCUAUGUGUACACAACAAGAAAACUAACACCUCUGAAAGCAGAGUUAGGCCCACAGGUAGCAGAGGCAGGAGAGUGUAUGGGAAACUAUGACACCCAAAGGUGAGUACUUU